rnacentral:sRNA from 1 species
CAGUACCUAAAGCUGGGGAUGACUCAACGAUCAGCCCUGGUGUCAAGAAACUCCUCCUUCCUACAGAUGCUGUACCAGAAUGACUUACACCUGACUCCCACGCUCCACCUCACCGGCAAGAACUGGAUAGAAAUCCCAGUGCCUGAAGACAUUGGCCAUGCCCUGGUACAAAUUCGGACCACAGGGCCCGGAGGGGAUGGGAUCCCUGCAGAAGUCCACAUCGUGAGGAAUGGAGGCACAAGCAUGAUGGUGGAGAACAUGGCAGUCCGCCCAGCACCACACCCUGGCAUCAUCGUUUCCCACUCCGUGGCGAUGCUGAUCCUCAUAGGCUCCCUGGAGCUCUGAUCCUGGAACCCCUCCCUCUGCGCCGCAGCUGGACGCCACUGCCGAUGGACACAGCCAGCCGGCCCCUUCCUGCUGCCAAGGUGGCCUGACACUGUGCCAGAGAGUGGCUGGUUUUAAAUACCUACUUUAAACAGUGCCCUUUUUGUAGGAGGUAGGAUAUUUUAUAUUCUGCCGCAGGAUAGAACCCACGCAAGGAUUUUCUUUAAAUCGAGAGGCACCAGGCAGUAACUUCCAUGAUGACACUGACACCUAUACCUGAGCUCUAGGCUGCCUGGAGGAAA